rnacentral:rRNA from 1 species
AUUGAACGCUGGCGGCAGGCCUAACACAUGCGAGUCGAGCGGAUGAGUGGAGCUUGCUCCUUGAUUCAGCGGCGGACGGGUGAGUAAUACCUAGGAAUCUGCCUGGUAGUGGGGGACAACGUUUCGAAAGGAACGCUAAUACCGCAUACGUCCUACGGGAGAAAGCAGGGGACCUUCGGGCCUUGCGCUAUCAGAUGAGCCUAGGUCGGAUUAGCUAGUUGGUGGGGUAAUGGCUCACCAAGGCGACGACCCGUAACUGGUCUGAGAGGAUGAUCAGUCACACUGGAACUGAGACACGGUCCAGACUCCUACGGGAGGCAGCAGUGGGGAAUAUUGGACAAUGGGCGAAAGCCUGAUCCAGCCAUGCCGCGUGUGUGAAGAAGGUCUUCGGAUUGUAAAGCACUUUGAGUUGGAAGGAAGGGCAGUAAGCGAAUACCUUGCUGUUUUGACGUUACCGACAGAAUAAGCACCGGCUAACUCUGUGCCAGCCGCCGCCGUAAAGC